rnacentral:tRNA from 2 species
CCAGCCUUAGCUCAGUUGGAAGAGCAGCGGAUUGUAGUGGUAUGAUAAUAAUAGUUCUCCGCGGGUCAGGUGUUCGAAUCACCUAGGCUGGACCA